rnacentral:lncRNA from 1 species
AAAGUCUUUUCUGUUACGAAUUCCCUCUGUCCAACGAUUCAGGUCCAGUCCCCUCAACUUGGUAGGCUCUGCCUGUUCCACGUCUAUGCAUUCCCCAUCUAUCUAAUGUAUAUUCAGACACAAAUGUAUAUACAUGAGAUCAAGUCAUAGAUAUUUUGAAGAUUUGCUUUCAUUCAUUUUUAUCUCAGUCAUAACAUUAAAUCUUGGCUGGGUGCAGUGGCUCACGCCUGUAAUCCCAACUCUUAGGGAGGCAGAGGCAGGAGGAUAGCUUGAGCCCAGGAGUUUGAGACCUGGCUGGGCAAUAUAGUGAAACCCUGAUCUCCACAAAAAGGAAAAAAAAAAGACAAAAAAAAAAAAAAAACCCACAAAUGUAAAAAAAAAAAAGUAUAUACACUUAAAUUAUGCUUCAUAAUGCAUGUUUUAGUCUUUCAUUUUUCCUAGAAAUUAUUUAUGUACCCAGCAGAUAUCCAUCAAUUAAAUGAGUACAAGGUUUUGAGUUACCUAAAGAUCUUUGAAAUUAUUCUAAAGUAGACAUACCACGAAAGAUAACUUUUUUUUUUUGAGAUGGAGUUUCGCUGUGUCGCCCAGGCUGGAGUGCAGAGGUGCCAUCUCCGCUCACUGCAACCCCCGCCUCCCUGGUUCAAGCGACUCUCCUGUCUCGGCCUCCUGAGUAGGUGGGACUACAGGCCCACACCACCACGCCCAGCUAAUUUUUGUAUUUUUAGUAAAAACAGGGUCUCACCAUAUCGGUCAUGCUGGUCUCAAACUGCUGACCUCAGGUGAUCCACCUGCCUCAGCCUCCCACAGUGCUGGGAUUACAGGUGUGAGUCACCUCACCCAGCCAAAAGAUAAUUUUUGAAAUAAAAUUCAUUAGCGGAAUAAUUCAAUUUUGUUAAACACAGAUUGAAAUUUACAUAUUUAAACAUUAUGUAAAAGCAACGCUAGCUUAUUUUAUCAGUAAAUAUGUAUAAGUUUCGGAAAAUCAUAUACAAGCAGAAUAAAAACGUA